ensembl:lncRNA
GUCGCAGGCGGCCGGGCGGGGAGGCAGGGCGCGCGCCGCGGUUCCAGCCCGGCUCCCGGAGUGGCCAGGCGGCAAAGGUGCGUGUCUGGAAAGCCCUUUCCAGUCUUGGCAUUAGCAAAGCAGGUUCUGGACCUGGAACGCCGAGCGAGCAGGCUGAAGGGGCGCCCGCUGCCCGCUCCGUGGGCCUGAGCUGAGCCGAGCGAGGUGAGGCGCUGGCACGUUGUGCCCACCCCAGAAGAACCGUUGCGGGGUGAAUGAGGCGCCGUGACAGCAUCCUAGCCUGGUGAAGAGGAGACAGAAAGAUCCCCCGGCGCGGUCCAUCCUGACACUGAGACGUCGUGGGGCUCUGCGAAAUCCCACCCCUUCCCCGCCAAAAAAAAAGGUGUGGGAGGAGAACACCCCCCAAACCCAAAUCCACCAGGACUCUGGAGAACUUGCAGAAAGGGACGGCAGGCAGAUCCCUAGCUGGACCCCUCCGCUGCAAAUCUGAUCCCCUUCGGCUGGCCAGCUGCUCUCGGCUCCUGUUGGCAUCAGUGGCUGACCGCCGGACAACGCCGCUUUGAGAUCCACUCGCUGCAUCCAGGGCUGAAGACUGUUUGCUCGUUCUUCCCUCCACCCCGCCCUAUGUUGGUAUUCUCAGCAUCGGAGCAGGGGACAUUUGAAGGCUGAGGAAGCUUUCGGUCAGAACUGCUUUUAGAUCCAAGGAUAUUGCUUUUUGUUUCUGCCCCCUUGUUUUAAUCCUUCCCUUCUCAUCGCCCUCUUCCCUCCUCUUUUUCUUCCCCCCUCCCUCCUAGCUUUUUGGGAGACCCUUGCAAACCCGGGGGAGCACGCUACCUGCGGAAUCCUUGCCGGACGCAAGUAUUCUUGCUCAUGGCGAGCCCACUCUGGUGAGAGGCGCAGAGCCGGGCUGCUUCAGAGAACUGCGAGCAAGAAUUCUGUCCUGCAGCCAAAAGGGGGCCGGGGGAAAGGCUCCUUCCCGCAGCCGCAGCAGGAGGAGGAGGAGGCGGAAAGAGGAGGGAGGGGGAGGCCUUGGGCUCGCUAACCCUCGCCUCGCCUUAGUUCGCCUUGGAGGGGAUGCCGACCGCAAGCCCUGGCCGCGCCGUUUAAUGCUCCGCGCGGGCCCUCCGACGCGCAGUGGGUCUUACGUGGAGCGGGGUUGGACGCGUUGGCCCCCGGUGACUGCUCCGACAUCGCCCCUGCCAGAGGAGAAGGGAAAAGUCCCAGGUCUGUCUCCCUGA